GCGGACGUGGCGAAACUGGUAGACGCACCAGAUUUAGGUUCUGGCGUUUCACGACGUGGGGGUUCGAGUCCCCCCGUCCGCA
rnacentral:tRNA from 1 species